AACGCGAAGAACCUUACCUGGCCUUGACAUGCAUUGUGUCGCCGGUGAAAGCCGGCUAGCGUAGCAAUACGCGCUUUGCACAGGUGCUGCAUGGCUGUCGUCAGCUCGUGUCGUGAGAUGUUGGGUUAAGUCCCGCAACGAGCGCAACCCUCGCCUUUAGUUGCCACGCAAGUGGAUCUCUAGAGGGACUGCCGGUGUUAAACCGGAGGAAGGUGGGGAUGACGUCAAGUCCUCAUGGCCUUUAUGACCAGGGCUACACACGUGCUACAAUGGCCGGUACAAAGCGCUGCCAACUCGCGAGAGGGAGCCAAUCGCAUAAAACCGGUCUCAGUUCAGAUUGGAGUCUGCAACUCGACUCCAUGAAGGCGGAAUCGCUAGUAAUCGCAGAUCAGCACGCUGCGGUGAAUACGUUCCCGGGCCUUGUACACACCGGAGUA
rnacentral:rRNA from 1 species